UACGUAGGGGGCAAGCGUUGUCCGGAAUCAUUGGGCGUAAAGCGCGUGUAGGCGGCCUUGUAAGUCCGUUCUGAAAGUCCGGGGCUCAACCCCGGGAGGCGGAUGGAUACUGCAAGGCUCGAGUACGGAAGAGGCGAGUGGAAUUCCCGGUGUAGCGGUGAAAUGCGCAGAUAUCAGGAGGAACACCGAUUGCGAAGGCAGCUCGCUGGGACGUUACUGACGCUGAGACGCGAAAGCGUGGGGAGCAAACAGG
rnacentral:rRNA from 1 species